rnacentral:rRNA from 1 species
AUUGAACGCUGGCGGCAGGCUUAACACAUGCAAGUCGAGCGGAGAGAGGUAGCUUGCUACUAAUCUUAGCGGCGGACGGGUGAGUAAUGCUUAGGAAUCUGCCUAUUAGUGGGGGACAACAUUUCGAAAGGAAUGCUAAUACCGCAUACGUCCUACGGGAGAAAGCAGGGGAUCUUCGGACCUUGCGCUAAUAGAUGAGCCUAAGUCGGAUUAGCUAGUUGGUGGGGUAAAGGCCUACCAAGGCGACGAUCUGUAGCGGGUCUGAGAGGAUGAUCCGCCACACUGGGACUGAGACACGGCCCAGACUCCUACGGGAGGCAGCAGUGGGGAAUAUUGGACAAUGGGCGCAAGCCUGAUCCAGCCAUGCCGCGUGUGUGAAGAAGGCCUUAUGGUUGUAAAGCACUUUAAGCGAGGAGGAGGCUACUUUAGUUAAUACCUAGAGAUAGUGGACGUUACUCGCAGAAUAAGCACCGGCUAACUCUGUGCCAGCCGCCGCAGUAAAAC